rnacentral:rRNA from 1 species
GAUGAACGCUGGCGGCGUGCCUAAUAUAUGCAAGUCGAACGCAUAGCGAAAGGUGCUUGCACCUUUCAAGUGAGUGGCGAACGGGUGAGUAACACGUGGACAACCUGCCUCAAGGCUGGGGAUAACAUUUGGAAACAGAUGCUAAUACCGAAUAAAACUUAGUGUCGCAUGACACAAAGUUAAAAGGCGCUUCGGCGUCACCUAGAGAUGGAUCCGCGGUGCAUUAGUUAGUUGGUGGGGUAAAGGCCUACCAAGACAAUGAUGCAUAGCCGAGUUGAGAGACUGAUCGGCCACAUUGGGACUGAGACACGGCCCAAACUCCUACGGGAGGCUGCAGUAGGGAAUCUUCCACAAUGGGCGAAAGCCUGAUGGAGCAACGCCGCGUGUGUGAUGAAGGCUUUCGGGUCGUAAAGCACUGUUGUAUGGGAAGAACAGCUAGAAUAGGAAAUGAUUUUAGUUUGACGGUACCAUACCAGAGAGGGACGGCUAAAUACGUG